UACGUAGGGCGCAAGCGUUGUCCGGAAUUAUUGGGCGUAAAGAGCUCGUAGGCGGUUUGUCGCGUCUGCUGUGAAAACCUAAGGCUCAACCUUGGGCUUGCAGUGGGUACGGGCAGACUAGAGUGCGGUAGGGGUGACUGGAAUUCCUGGUGUAGCGGUGGAAUGCGCAGAUAUCAGGAGGAACACCGAUGGCGAAGGCAGGUCACUGGGCCGCAACUGACGCUGAGGAGCGGAAGCAUGGGGAGCGAACAGG
rnacentral:rRNA from 1 species